CCCACAUAGCUUAACCCAAAGCAUGACACUGAAGAUGUUA
rnacentral:tRNA from 1 species